GACGAACGCUGGCGGCGUGCUUAACACAUGCAAGUCGAACGGAAAGGCCCUGCUUUGGUGGUGUUCUCGAGUGGCGAACGGGUGAGUAACACGUGGGUAACCUUCCCUUGGCUGUGGGAUGACUUCAGGAAACUGGGUCUAAUACCGGAUAGGAGCUCCUGCUGCAUGGUGGGGGUUUGAAAGUUUCGGCUGUUGGGGAUGGACUCGCGGCUUAUCAGCUUGUUGGUGGUGUAGUGGCUUACCAAGGCUUUUACGGGUAGCCGGCAUGAGAAGGUGACCGGGCACCUUGGGACUGAGAUACGGCGCAGAGUCCUACGGGAGGCAGCAGUGGGGAAUAUUGCACAAUGGGCGGAAGCCUGAUGAAGAAACGCAGCGUGCGGGAUGAAGGUCUUCGGGUUGUAAACCGCUUUCGCCUGUGACGAAGGGGGAGUGACGGUAAUGGGUAAAGAAGCACCGGCUAACUACGUG
rnacentral:rRNA from 1 species